AGGGAGAGAAAAGCUUACCUUCACACAUAUCACCUCAACACACUCACCACCUCAGCCACCGGCAGCAGUGUCCAGUGAUGGAGUCAGCCAUUGAUGUACUCGUGUCCCAGUUCAAGGCGUUUGCUGGAAGUGAUGGAUCCUCAGACACACUGAGCAGAGAUGAGUUCCAGAGCCUGGUCAAAA